AAAUCACGUGAGGAGGGGUGAUCGCCCAUUAGAAAUUUCGCAAACCACACGCAUUGCUAUUGCAAGUCUCAUAUUUAUAUAAGGACAAAAUUCUCUAUGUUAAAUGGCAGAAAUUUAUGACCCCUCCAAUUU
rnacentral:snoRNA from 1 species